AAGACAGAGGAUAGAAGGAAGAUAUAGAAUUGAAGAAGUGAUCAACAGUGCUUGAACAAGGGUUGUUGCUGGAGUCAGUGUCACAGCAAGUGAACUUCGUCAGGGUAACAGCUUGUACAAGCUGUAGUCCUGAUGAAGACAAGUCCACCUGUCAGAAGCAUUGGCUCCAGAAACGUCCUGUGUUCAACGACUGUUGAUCGCUAGAGGAUCAUGUUUAUUUACAACAUGUACAAAAGUGGGGCAUUGUCCUUUUAAAAGUAGGUUUGUGAAUCAUUGCAAUGAAAACAGCUCUUCAUGAAAAGCAGUAAUUGCCGAGUGAGAGCAUUGUUUGAAUCCCUCCAGAAUUGGUCUCUCGACAGCUACCAGAUAGAAUGUCGAAAGCUUCCAAAUGUGACACGAAGUGCACUGCAUCGAGUGCAUACGCAGACCAGUAUGUUUUCUCAAGAAUGUGCCCCUUCUUGUGGAGCUGUGCUGGACUUAAUAUCAGCACGCACAUCAGACUGUUCUGCUUCUGAAAUCAGCGAUCCACGAAAUAGUAAAGCUAAAGUGAUGAGCCAUUCCAGAUUCAUGUCAGCGCAUGUGCUGGCUGAAGCUGCAUGGUGUGGCGCAUGUAAAGCAAGACCUGAAUCUCACCAUCAUCACAGUAUGCACUGAAAUAAGUAACUGUGUCAUAUAUGUGGAUGAAAGCACGGCUGGGUAUGCUGCCUUGUUGAAGGGGGCACGUAUUGCUGCUGAUACAGUUGUUUCCUUUAAUUCAAGAUCAGUUAAUCUGAUCUGCAUUUUAAUUUCACCCUGUACUAAUGUCUCAGGAGGAAACCAUGUUCUUUACGUGCUUUCAAUUUUAACAUCGGUUCGUACGAUAAUCCAAACCAAUUUUUCAUGUCUCGUCACAUUUGAAGUUCACUGUACUGCAUGUGGCAACAGGUAAAUAGUCUGAAGGCAUUGCCUCUGAAUAUAGCUCAUUUCACAUGUGCUCUUGCAUGAUGGCAAACAAAACAAGAGAUCCAUGUCAACUUAAGAGGCAGCGUUUGUACUAGUGAAUGUGUGAUAGAACAUUUUCACCUUUGUCAAGUUGGUGGUGUGUUCGGCCAGGCUCUCGUUGUACAGAGCUUUGUGAAAUGCAAAGAACAUGCAACAGACGAAAGGAUGCAUACUGUCUGUAUGGUGUUGACACAGGCUGGUGUUCACUACUUUGGGCUGUUAAGACAGCUUGCACCAAGUCAAGCAUUUCUUUCUCUCCCACACUUUUAUUUGAGUUUGUAAUCACAGUCGGCACACACUUUCAAAUGAUGUGUCUUCAUGUGUGAGUAGGUAGUUGAAGAAUACCCGUCUGCUUAUUUUUGUUCUGCCUAUGUCUGCAUGAUGAGCCGUGCAUGCAGAUUCUAGUUAGUGCAAAUAAAAAUGAAGUUGCUGGCACCGUCUGGCUACAAAACAUGCCGUGUAUAGCAACAACCGCAGGGAAAGCGCUUCCGGUGUAUUUUUGGCAUGGUGUCACCUGGAAUCACGAUGCGCAAUGGCCCCACCCUAGUGCCAGCCAAAAUGUGGUCCAUGUGAUUAGUAACUGCAGUUAUUUUUUUCUCACAAGAUGAAAUGGGUGCACCAACAGUCUGUCUGAAAUGCAUUGCAUGCCACCUGACACCAGUGGUUGUAGUUUCUGCCAUCAAGACAGUGUUCACAGGAUGCUGGCGCUAGAACAGAGUUUUAACUUUGCAUAAUGUGCGAUGUGUUACCGUGAUACAUUAGGGCUACAGCACAUGUGUCACCUCUUCAUGGUAGCACUGUAGACUAGCCAAGAGAUUAAUAUUCCAGCAUACCGUCAUUGCGUACCAUGCUAGACCAGAUAAUAAUUAAUGAUGUAGUGAAGAAGUACACUUUUAGCGUUUUCCUGAUUGGUGACACAUCAGCAACACUAAUGCUGUGCUGCUACCUGCUAGGUCUAAAUAGACUUUCCAGACUCCAUUCAACCUCUAUACGUAUUCCUAGCUUUCUGAAAACAAAGAACUAAUCUCAAUAAUACGGCCAAAACAUUGCUUUGUCAUCAGCGUGACAUGAGGCUAAGAAAUGGCUGAUUUUGCCAUUUAUUUCUUGUUUUCGUGACAGAGAGCAAGUAGCAAGGGCAAAUUUGGAUCGAAGUGGGUGGUCUCAGCUAUCUGGGAACUGCUGUGUUGUUAUGCAAUCAGAGUAAUCGGUGGUAGCCAUGAUAAUUGUCCACGGUCUAGGACAAACAUGUGCACUGGGCCUAACAUAUCACAGUAACAUGUUGCAUAUCACACAGAGUUAAAGCUCUGCAAUGUUCCACACUGAAGAACACACAACAUGAGUUUUAAUAAGGACGUUUAGGCAUAUCUCAGGCACCAACAGCACAAUGUUUGAGGGUGCACCGUUUGUGGUUAAAAUAAGCACUUGUACUCGCAUGUGUUUCUUCCAUAUCUUGUCCAAGUCCAGCAUCGAGAUUACUUUUUUGUUGUUGCAAUGCUUAUUGCAUUGAGCCAGAGUCUCUUGUGGAAUCAGAUGCCUACUUUGUUGCUUUAUAACUUUUGCCUCAAACUGUCGCACCUUGGCAGGUGAAGCAUGUUUCAGCAGGCACUGUGCCAUUUUUCUCAGUAUUAACAACAUUGUGAGGUGGUCUCGCUUUAUCCGUCAAUGUGAACUGCACGAGCUCUUUAUUUUUGUCCGAGUGAGUUGACCACUAAUUUUAGUAUAGUGAAUGGAGUCCUUCUUAGAUACUGUGCAGCUUGACAACUUGUCUAUCCAAAAAAGAUUGUACAUUUUUGUCCUGGGAAAUAACAAGAUUUGGCCACUGUUUGUCUAGUUAGUCAUCCUCGGAGGCCAUUACUAAAAAUUAUCAAGAUAUGCGGAAGGGGCGGUACACUUGAGAAGUUGUAGCGGUGUGUGCAGGUCCAUUGCCACUUGUGUUUGAGAGCAUCACUCGUCCAACACUUUUUUUUGUGCUGGUGAAACUAUUUCUAGCUGCCUGGACACACUGUUCCCGAAUGCUGCACUGAGGUAGUUUGGUUCUUACUGCAUAGUAUAUUUUAUGUGUAUGUGCACAAGCCAGCUUAGCACCUAGAAGUUUGUUUCUGGCUGUGCUUCGUGCUGUUGAAGUGGACUAACCGUAACUGUAAUUUUGCACUCAUUAUAGCAACAUUGAUGUGUGGAUGACUGGUAACUGAAUGUGUUUCGUUCGUACGAUAAAGGAACAGGUGCCUAGUUGAAGGAAGUGCUUGUCAGAUCUUCGGUGCUGCCUGUCCAGGUAGGCCUGCUUGUCACUGCCAUUUCCAGCAUUUUGCACUAAAAGCAAAGUUGGGCUAUUGUUUACCAUGAGCUUGACCCUGACUGCUUGUAGCAAAGUGCUGGGUGCUGCUUACUGGGCGUCUUCAGUGAAAAAAGCGGAUAGGUUGGUGACAUUUCCCGAAUGCUGUGUGUGUGCAUGCUUGCGUGUGGCGCAUGAGUUUUGAAUGGGCUCUUUUUUUCUCGUGUGCAGCGAUUCUGGGUUCAUUGAUUAAGAGCAAAACAAUGAUGGGGCCUACUGAUCGGAAACUGCGAUAGUUCUGAGAAGUGGCACUUUCAUGUCCAUGUGCAUGAAUUUGUCUGCAAUUAGAAGGUCUGGAAGUGGUGGCUUACCUGGUAGUGUUGGACCUGAAAUGAAAGUACAUGGCACUGGAAAAGCGUCUUCUGCUUCUUGUUUGGAGCUUUGAAGCUGCUUUACAGCAUUUAUUUGGCAAUUGGAUUUGUCCCUGGGAAGUGUUUCUUGUGCCUAUGUCUCAGCCACCCAUCUUCGUGUGGUCAGGCAGGAAUAAAGCUAGACCCUGCUGCAGACCAGGAAUAUUUUGCACUGUUGGUUACGUGAUUUUGCCUUUGCUGAAGUAAUGUGAUUCCACCUUCAAAUAUGACAUAAAUUGCUAUCUUCUCGUCAUUCCUCACAUCCUGUGGCAAAAUUGUUUGUUGGACCAUCAACAGUUAACUCAGUAUUAAACGCUCUUCUGUAAGUUUUUUGUUUUGCUCUUUUUUAUAAGGAAAAGACAUUAUACUUUAAAAAUGAUUAAUCGUGCAGAAGGAGAAAGAGACUUGCAGCACUUAAUACACAGAUGCUGGCCUUUGGUGAUGCUAAACAUUCUUAAACAUUCUUGAGAGCUGUUCAUUUGUUUCAAGAAAGCAUUUUCUGGCCCUCACUUAAAAGGAUGCUUUAUUUACUGUGGACAAAUCUCUCAUCCAAAUGCACAGAGAAAUAAGAGCUCUCAUCAGCCAACCCCCUGCAUUAUUUGCUUCGAAAUAUAUUUUAAAAUUGGCUGUUGUAUACCACUGCUCUUUUUUUUAAUUAUAAUUUUGCAGUGCAGGGCUACGGGCAGCACAAAACAGAUGGGAAAAGAUGUUAAAUUGCAGAAGGGAAGGGACCACCAUAUGUCCUGGCAUAUAUAUAGACUAUUGCAUCAGUAACAGCGCCAGAUAUGCAUGACUGUUUCGGCUCAAUAGCUGGCUGAUCGCCACUCGAAUUUCAUACAGAAGUUCCAUUUUGUAUGAAGUCUAGUUUGAUACCACAUUUAUGGGCAUUACAUGCCAGUUUUGUCCACAGGAAAUUUGAUGCUCAUAUUGUCUGAAACAACGCCACUCAAAACAUGGUGAUUUUGCUGCAAUGUAACAGUGGCUCCAUCUAUCACCGCUAUGGCAAAACGCACACAUGAUAUGCCACUGGAUGGGAUUGAGGAAGGAUAAUUUAUUGUGUGGAUGCUUUUAAAAUGUUUUCUUUGCAUAUAGUUUUAUCUCAAUAAAAAACUCUUCUUCCCUGCCUCUACCCAUCCAGCGGCGCGUUGCGUGUACUGUGUUUCGCCGAAGCGAUGACAGAUGGUGCCACCAUUUCGUUGCAGCAUCAUUAACAGUGGCGUCUUUUCAAACAACGCGAACAUCAGAUUUAUUGUUAUGGAACUGAUAAGCAAUGCCUGCAAAUGUGGUAUUAACCAAAAUUUUAUGCAAAAUGGUACCUCUGUGCAAAAUUUGAGCGAAGAUUGGUCAUUGGUUUAACGGAAAAAGUCAUGUAUACCUGGAGCCAUUAUUGACUGCAGUGUGCCAAAUUUUGAAAUAGAAAAGUAUAUGCGCAGUUGUCCCACUGCAGUCAUGAAAACAGCCACACAUAUCGAUCUGCCAUUAUGUUGCACAUAGACUACAAUCUCCGUUACAUGUGGUUGUGUUACUCCCAAGUGAAGUCCACUAUCCGCCAUGGGGCAGUAUUCUUGGGCGAUCAGUUUCGGAGAUGGCUUCACAUUCGCGAGAUUUUGUGAAACUAGGCACUGGAUUUGGGACCACAGUUUGAGAAAAGCUUGAUCACAGGAUUCACGAGAUCAAAAUCUCCUUAAAGCUUGUUUCAAUCAUGGCAAAGGGACCUCUGCCCAUAUCUUGAGAGUUGAGAAAGACCUGUUAAAAUGUCUGUUGAUGUUUUCAGAGUGGAACAGGCGUAAUAAAAUGUGUGAACAUUUGAAAAUUUCCUAUGGUGUUCGUGAGACAGAUAUUUUGUCCCUCCAUGUGCUGUAUCAGGUAUAGUUUUGCGUAAGUUCUUGCCUCUGUUUAUAUGAAAAAAUGUGGAGGACCUUCUUAUCACGCAACUACAUUAACAUGAAAUGUCUUGAUUUUUGACAAACUCUAAUAAACUAAAAGGGGACAAAAUAAAAGUAUUGCUACUGUACAUCACUAUAAUGAACUUCCUCAUUGAAAUGUUCCAGGUCUUAUGUGAGCUUACUACUUUAUCAUUCCCCCAUGUUUAGGGUAAUGCAUUUGCUGUAAAUUGUUCCCUUAAAGCUUGGUGCAGUCUCUUUUGCCUGCAGAAGGAUUUUCAAUUUAUUUAGCACACAAUAAAAAACUAAACAAAACAAAAAACAAGAAAUAGAAGACUGAAGAGACAGGCAGCUGGUUCUAUGUGUCUUUUAGGUCUCACACUUCCUUUAUUUGACUGCCGACCAGCCCAUUGUUACACCUUGUUGCACAAACUUUCCUUCUUUUAACUGCUGCAGACCAUUUUUGUGUAACUGAGGCUCAUUUUUACAGUUUCUCCAAUAUGACUAACCUUCCUUAUUUUUUAUGUCUUACUAUGGAAUUAUAUAGGGACCAUUAGAAUUAUUUUAACCUUUAUAACCUCUAUAACAUUACUUUAUUAAAGGUUAUACAUAAAGGUUUACUUUGUGACCUAAAACAGCCAGGAUCACUGAUAUGUUCCCAUUUUUUGCAUUGUGUUCCUGCUUUUGGAGGACUUGAGUAUGUCCGCAGCGUUUGCAUUGCUCUGCACUUUGGCAUUUGAAGGUGACAUGGCCGUACAGGUGCGGACACAAGUAAUUGGAACACGAGCUGUGGCCAUACUGCAUCCCAGUAACCUUUGAAUUGAAUUCUUGAAUUGAAUUCUUUGAAUUGAAAAACCUGGAAUUUUUCUGUUGUGCAAUAUGGUGCAGUGCUGUCAUAUAUGGCAGGAAACAUUGUCUUUAUUCAUGAGUUGGGGUAACCAGACAUGUACCAAAUUCAAAAAAGCCACAUUUUGCUAAUUCCGCAUCAAGAAAAUUGCAUUGUGAGUCAACGAGUGAUGUUUGGAACCAAUUAUCGAUUGAAUGUUCUCUGCCAUAUCAGACUGUGCUGCACAAGACCUGUUGGCUAUGCCAUUUUGUCUGUGUGUUUGUGCGUGUAUGUGUGUCCGUGAAAAACAGAACUGAACCUAUAGCUGCUUUUGAUCAGCAUUCAGUGUAACACAUCAAAACGGGUGCUGCUUUUUGUUUCAUAUUUUAUUUAAUUUUUCCAUUGCACGUUAGAAAUGUACAGUGCUUAGCUAGUGGCGUAAUGAACUUGAUCAAACGAGUACAUUGUGCACAGUUGUCUUGGGAAGUGGCGGUAUGUACAUCACGCCAGGUUUUUACAAGCAAUACUGGUGCAAGCGCUCUCAGCAUACAGGGUGGGAGUUGCUGUACCAUUGCACAUGAAUGACACUGUGUGUGUACAUAUAUGGCUUUGUGACAGUGCUUAUGUGUGUGUACAUAAAAUUUUGAAUAAACAACAUAUUUGCUAGUA
rnacentral:lncRNA from 1 species